GCGCGCAAUUACCCACUCUCGGCUUGAGGAGGUAGUGACGAGAAAUAACGAGACCGUUCUCUACGAGGCCGGUCAUCGGAAUGGGUACAAUGUAAACCCUUUAACGAGUAUCUAUGAGAGGGCAAGUCUGGUGCCAGCAGCCGCGGUAAUUCCAGCUCUCAAAAUGCAUAGAAUUAUUGCUGCGGUUAAAAAGCUCGUAGUUGGAUCUGUGCCCCGCGGGCGGUUCUCCCCCACCGGGGAGCUACUGCUCCGCGGGGCUUUUGGCUGGUCUCAUUCGACUUCCCUUGUGGAGGUUGGGUUGGCUAGCGAGUUUACUUUGAACAAAUCAAAGUGCUCCACACAGGCGUCUCGCCUGAAUGUUCGUGCAUGGAAUAAUAAAAAAGGAUUUCGGUUCUAUUUUAUUGGUUUUAUAGACUGAGGUAAUGGUUAACAGAGACAAACGGG
rnacentral:rRNA from 1 species